rnacentral:rRNA from 1 species
UGGGGAAUAUUGCACAAUGGGCGCAAGCCUGAUGCAGCCAUGCCGCGUGUGUGAAGAAGGCCUUCGGUUGUAAAGCACUUUCAGCGAGGAGGAAGGUGGGUGAACUUAAUACGUUCAUCAAUUGACGUUACUCGCAGAAGAAGCACCGGCUAACUCCGUGCCAGCAGCCGCGGUAAUACGGAGGGUGCAAGCGUUAAUCGGAAUUACUGGGCGUAAAGCGCACGCAGGCGGUUUGUUAAGUCAGAUGUGAAAUCCCCGGGCUCAACCUGGGAACUGCAUUUGAAACUGGCAAGCUAGAGUCUCGUAGAGGGGGGUAGAAUUCCAGGUGUAGCGGUGAGAUGCGUAGAGAUCUGGAGGAAUACCGGUGGCGAAGGCGGCCCCCUGGACGAAGACUGACGCUCAGGUGCGAAAGCGUGGGGAGCAAAGCAGGAUUAGAUACCCUGGUAGUCCACGCUGUAAACGUGUCGAUUUGGAGGUUGUGGCCUUGAGGCGUGGCUUCCGGAGCUGAACGCGUUAAAUCGACCGCCUGGGGAGUACGGCCGCAAGGUUAAAACUCAAAUGAAUUGACGGGGUCAUAGCUGUUUCCUG